rnacentral:rRNA from 1 species
GCUCAGGAUGAACGCUGGCGGCGUGCUUAACACAUGCAAGUCGAACGAUGAACCUCACUUGUGGGGGGAUUAGUGGCGAACGGGUGAGUAACACGUGAGUAACCUGCCCUUAACUYUGGGAUAAGCCUUGGAAACGAGGUCUAAUACUGGAUAUUGACUUUUCACCGCAUGGUGUUUGGUUGAAAGAUUUAUUGGUUUUGGAUGGACUCGCGGCCUAUCAGCUUGUUGGUGAGGUAAUGGCUUACCAAGGCGACGACGGGUAGCCGGCCUGAGAGGGUGACCGGCCACACUGGGACUGAGACACGGCCCAGACUCCUACGGGAGGCAGCAGUGGGGAAUAUUGCACAAUGGGCGAAAGCCUGAUGCAGCGACGCCGCGUGAGGGAUGACGGCCUUCGGGUUGUAAACCUCUUUCAGUAGGGAACAAGGCCACAUUUUGUGUG